rnacentral:rRNA from 1 species
GACGAACGCUGGCGGCGUGCCUAACACAUGCAAGUCGAGCGGGGAGAGAUUUUCGGAUUUCUCUUUAGCGGCGGACGGGUGAGUAUCACGUGGGUAACCUGCCUCAAAGAGGGGGAUAGCCUUCCGAAAGGAAGAUUAAUACCGCAUAAUAUCAGGAAGCUGCAUGGCAUUCUGAUUAAAGGAGCAAUCCGCUUUGAGAUGGACCCGCGGCGCAUUAGCUAGUUGGUGAGGUAACGGCCCACCAAGGCGACGAUGCGUAGCCGACCUGAGAGGGUGAUCGGGCACCUUGGAACUGAGACACGGUCCAGACUCCUACGGGGGGCAGCAGUGGGGAAUAUUGCACAAUGGGGGAAACCCUGAUGCAGCAACGCCGCGUGAGUGAUGAAGGCCUUCGGGUCGUAAAGCUCUUUGAUCAGGGACGAUAAUGACGGUACCUGAAAAACAAGCCACGGCUAACUACGUGCCAGCCGCCGCAGUAACAC